rnacentral:siRNA from 1 species
GAUCCUUCAGGCAAGUUAU